rnacentral:rRNA from 1 species
UACGGGGGGGGCAAGCGUUGUUCGGAAUUACUGGGCGUAAAGGGCUCGUAGGUGGCCAACUAAGUCAGACGUGAAAUCCCUCGGCUUAACCGGGGAACUGCGUCUGAUACUGGAUGGCUGGAGUUUGGGAGAGGGAUGCGGAAGUUCCAGGUGUAGCGGUGAAAUGCGUAGAUAUUGGGAGGAACACCAGUGGCGAAGGCGGCUCACUGGACCGGUACUGACGCUGAGGCGCGAAAGCGUGGGUAGCAAACAGG